GAUGAACGCUGGCGGCGUGCCUAAUACAUGCAAGUCGAGCGAACAGACGAGGAGCUUGCUCCUCUGACGUUAGCGGCGGACGGGUGAGUAACACGUGGAUAACCUACCUAUAAGACUGGGAUAACUUCGGGAAACCGGAGCUAAUACCGGAUAAUAUAUUGAACCGCAUGGUUCAAUAGUGAAAGACGGUUUUGCUGUCACUUAUAGAUGGAUCCGCGCCGCAUUAGCUAGUUGGUAAGGUAACGGCUUACCAAGGCAACGAUGCGUAGCCGACCGGAGAGUGUGAUCGGCCACACUGGAACUGAGACACGGUCCAGACUCCUACGGGAGGCAGCAGUAGGGAAUCUUCCGCAAUGGGCGAAAGCCUGACGGAGCAACGCCGCGUGAGUGAUGAAGGUCUUCGGAUCGUAAAACUCUGUUAUUAGGGAAGAACAAAUGUGUAAGUAACUAUGCACGUCUUGACGGUACCUAAUCAGAAAGCCACGGCUAACUACGUG
rnacentral:rRNA from 1 species